rnacentral:rRNA from 1 species
GUACACUCCUGCGGGAGGCAGCAGUGGGGAAUUUUGGACAAUGGGCGAAAGCCUGAUCCAGCAAUGCCGCGUGAGUGAAGAAGGCCUUCGGGUUGUAAAGCUCUUUUGUCAGGGAAGAAACGGUGAAAGCUAAUAUCUUUUGCUAAUGACGGUACCUGAAGAAUAAGAACCGGCUAACUACGUGCCAGCAGCCGCGGUAAUACGUAGGGUGCAAGCGUUAAUCGGAAUUACUGGGCGUAAAGCGUGCGCAGGCGGUUUUGUAAGUCUGAUGUGAAAUCCCCGGGCUCAACCUGGGAAUUGCAUUGGAGACUGCAAGGCUAGAAUCUGGCAGAGGGGGGUAGAAUUCCACGUGUAGCAGUGAAAUGCGUAGAUAUGUGGAGGAACACCGAUGGCGAAGGCAGCCCCCUGGGUCAAGAUUGACGCUCAUGCACGAAAGCGUGGGGAGCAAACAGGAUUAGAAACCCCUGUAGUCCC